CCUACGGGUGGCAGCAGUGAGGAAUAUUGGUCAAUGGGCGCGAGCCUGAACCAGCCAAGUAGCGUGAAGGAUGACUGCCCUACGGGUUGUAAACUUCUUUUAUAAAGGAAUAAAGUGAGACACGUGUGCCUUUUUUUAUGUACUUUAUGAAUAAGGAUCUGCUAACUCCGUGCCAGCAGCCGCGGUAAUACGGAGGAUCCGAGCGUUAUCCGGAUUUAUUGGGUUUAAAGGGAGCGUAGAUGGGUUGUUAAGUCAGUGGUGAAAGGUUGAGGAUCAACCGUAAAAUUGCAAUUGAUACUGGCAGUCUUGAGUACAGUUGAGGUAGGCGGAAUUCGUGGUGUAGCGGUGAAAUGCUUAGAGAUCACGAAGAACACCGAUUGCGAAGGCAGCUUACUAAACUGCCACUGACAUUGAUGCUCGAAAGUGUGGGUAUCAAACAGGAGUAGAUACCCUGGUAGUC
rnacentral:rRNA from 1 species